AAAGCGCUGCUAUAGGUUUCGCUAAAAACAAAACUAAAAAACAAGGGAAAAAAGCGCUGGUAUAGGUGAUCCUACGAAAGCGCUUUUGAAAAGCGCUGCUAUAGGCUACCUUAUGAAAGCGCUUUUAUAAAAGCGCUGGUAUAGGCUGGUUACAAAGGCGCUUUUGAAAAGCGCUCUCGUAGCUAAUUUAAAAUUAAAAUUUUUAAAACAAAAUUAAUUAACUAACAGAAUAAAAAAAUAAUAAUAAAAAGAAGAAUAAAUAGGAAAAGGGACUAGGGUUUGUGUUGGUUAAAAACAUUCUUUUCUUUUCCUCCUCAACAUAAGAAAAACACCCUUCAUCUUCAACAAAGCUGUGGUGGCUUCUCUCUUCCUCUGAUUGUCUUCCUCUUCUUCUCCGAUCAAUCACCGGUGACUCAAACCCUUUUUCGAUUCCGUUCUCUUUCUCUGACGUGAAUCUCCGUUCGUCCUCUUCUUCUCUCUGAUUCGAAGCUUUCUCCGAUUUCGUGGAGAUGAUGUUGCUGGGUUUGAAAGCUGAACGCCGGAAAUGAAACUGUUCGCGAGUUGAAAUUGUUGUUGUGGUGUUGAACAUUUGUGGUUGCUUCGUUUUUGUCCGUUGAUACGAUCUCCUUGUUCUAUGAGCCAUUCAAUUUCCUCUGUUCAAUCCCAGGUUUAAGCCCCAUGGUGAUAAAAUUGGUAUAAAGCUGUUGAAAAUAGUUUUUAAGGAUCGAAGCAAGUCAAAGAGGCCCUUUAGUUUUCCUUUGCCUGCUUUGAUGAUAUUUUAUAUGUGAAUUCAAGGAGAGGUUCAAGAAGGAAACUAAAAACAGCAAACCUGUUAUUGUGCUGAGUACAAGCUUCGUUGUGGAGGUUUCACAAUUUCAGAGAAUCAAAACCAUUAGUCAUCAAUUCAUUGAAACUCAAAAGUGGACAGUUUUACAACACUCACUUGAUCGGAGCUCAUAAGUGAACAACUUUACACCACAUAAGAAAUAUUGAGUUUUCAAUUAUAUCAUCACAUUUUUAUAUGUGUGGUAUUUGCUGUGAGGCUAAGUAGAGAAAGGAAGGAAAUGUCUCAAGUUGGAUUUUGGGGAAAUUUCUUA